AAGACUAUAGACCUGCGGAGUACCUGCGGAAGGAUCAUUAACGAUUGGCCCCCGUGGCCUCGUCAUUAAUCCCAACACCCCGGUGAACCGUUUUCCUCCGGCCCUCGGGCCGGAUUUACACAUAUGCAAACACCGUGUGACGAACGUCUCGUGAUCUUAACGAAACAAAACUUUUAGCAAUGGAUCUCU
rnacentral:misc_RNA from 1 species